rnacentral:rRNA from 1 species
CCUACCUUCUACCGUUGCUUCGGCGGGCGGGCCCAGCGCCCCCCCGGCCCCCCGCGGGCGCCCGCCGGAGGAUACCCAAACUCUUGACAUUAGUGGCCUCUCUGAGUAUUCUUUACUGAAUAAGUCAAAACUUUCAACAACGGAUCUCUUGGUUCUGGCAUCGAUGAAGAACGCAGCGAAAUGCGAUAAGUAAUGUGAAUUGCAGAAUUCAGUGAAUCAUCGAAUCUUUGAACGCACAUUGCGCCCGCCAGUAUUCUGGCGGGCAUGCCUGUUCGAGCGUCAUUUCAACCAUCAAGCCCCCGGGCUUGUGUUGGGGACCUGCGGCUGCCCGCAGGCCCUGAAAACCAGUGGCGGGCUCGCUAGUCACACCGAGCGUAGUAGCAUACAUCUCGCUCAGGGCGUGCUGCGGGUUCCGGCCGUUAAACAGCCUCUGCGCUACACCCAAGGUUGACCUCGGAUCAGGUAGGAAGACCCGCUGAACUUAAGCAUAUC